rnacentral:lncRNA from 1 species
AGGACGAGGUGUUCUCGGAGCUGGUGAGACCCCUGCUGGCCAUGGUGCCCCUUGGCUACAGCGUGUCCCUGCUGCUGUUGGAGGCCCAUCAGGCCGGGACCAAGCUGCAGCCUCAGGGCACUGGGCAGCACCACAGCAUCAUCCAACAGGUGAUAGAAACCUUCUUCCAGGAGCCCAAGCUCCCAGGGGAUGGCAGGGACCAUCUGCAAACUGUCAGCUUUGUCCAGCUUUGUGCAGAUGGAAAUGCCCGGGACCUGCUCAGCCCCAGAAAUCAAGCCCUGCAUGUGCUGGAUGUCUCCCCGCUGGGUCUGAUGGUGGAAGAGGCAAGUGAAAUUGUGGUGUCCAACUCUACAGCUGCCUACAGCUUCUAUGUGAGGGGGCUGGAGGACAGUCCAGCAUUGUC